rnacentral:rRNA from 1 species
UAAUACAGAGGGUGCGAGCGUUGUCCGGAAUCACUGGGCGUAAAGGGCGCGUAGGCGGCCUGGUAAGUAGGGGGUGAAAUCCCGCGGCUCAACCGCGGGGCUGCCUCCUAGACUGCCGGGCUCGAGCAGAGCAGAGGCUAGCGGAAUUCCCGGUGUAGCGGUGGAAUGCGUAGAGAUCGGGAAGAACAUCGGUGGCGAAGGCGGCUAGCUGGGCUCUUGCUGACGCUGAUGCGCGACAGCGUGGGGAGCAAACAGGAUUAGAUACCCUGGUAGUCCACGCCGUAAACGAUGGGUACUAGGCGUCGGGGGGAGCGACCCCUUCGGUGCCGUCGCUAACGCAAUAAGUACCCCGCCUGGGGAGUACGGCCGCAAGGCUG